AAAAAAGUAACUAUAUAUAAAAUUUAAAUUUCAUGAUGGCAAUAAAAAUAGAUUUAUUAUUUUUUUUAAAAAAAUAAAACUAUUAAUGAAAAUAAAUUAACAAAUUUAUAUACAUGUUUUUAGAAAUCUUAAAAUUGCAUUUUUAGUUUAAUCCCUCUUAUUCGAUUCAAAAAAUUUCAGGUUCCCCACUACCCUAAAAAUUUAGAUCGAGUUUCCCGGGCCAAAUUGUAUUUAAACCUAAUAUCAAUUUGUUCCAUCCACAUCACAUAUUCAAUCUUCCUUCAUGGAUCGUCUACAACACACAUACCCCAUCUUUAUCCUAUAAACUCAUCGAUCGAAUAUUAAGUAAUCAGAAAACACCACAAGCAACCCACAUGCUAGUCUCUCACGCCUGAUUUCUGCCAUUUCAUUGUGGUUAGCCGGAACAGCACCAACCGUCGUUCUAAUGUUGUUUCCCUAUUUUUCUUCUACUCUUCCCAUUCUUCCAUGUUCCACUAUCACUCCACUUAAUUACCUUUUGUCAUGAGUCACAUCUCCUCAGUGACGGCCUAUGCAACUCCAAUUCAACCACUGAGAUCUUCAAACCCUAGCAUCUCUUUCAUGUCCUUCGGCGUUGAGUCCUGUCCAACAUUCACCACCCUGUAAGUAAGUUAAUAACUAAAAACAUAUAUUUGAUUCUUGGUUUUUUCGUUUGUAAAUGAGUGAAAAUGGCUGAUGUGUUUGACUGCUUUUCCGUUAUCGACUUUGUUGGACUGUUUUGCCCUUGGUUGUCUUCUCUCUCUAUCUUUUCCAAUUGAUAGAACUCUCUAAAAUAUUUUACAUCUUGAUAUGAAUGAUGGUUUGGCAACAGAUCAUGCACAUAUAGUGAUAAAAAGUAUGAAGUUAUAUAAUUUCUCAUUAUCAUAUUGUGUUAAAGAAAAUUAGUGAGAAUUUGGAAUUGUAUCAGAAAUUAGUACCCAGAUGUGCUACUAUUAGAUUUGUAAGCCAUGGAUCUAUCACAAAGUUUUAAUCGAUAAUCCACCUUGAUAUUAUAGGUUGCAAGAAAUUUGAGUUUUCUGAGAUUUGUUGUUCAUUUCUUUGUUUUUGUCAAUUAGAGAAGAUAUUUAUGAAUCUUUUUGGAAGAAUAAUUCAUGGUCUGUAUAUUAUUGUGUUACAAGUAUUUAUGCAGAACUGGAUGUUUACUUUUGUAUAAUUCAUUUUCAUGCAAUUUCUUUAUCAUUUCUAUAGUUUCACAUACGUAGGAGGCCAUUUAAGACUUAUGCAAUAGUCUUGAAAGAGAAUUAGGAGGAAGUCAUUGUAGAAGAAACAUUUCAACCCACAACUUCUCUCGAUGAAGAGAAUAGAAGUCCAAGUGAGCCCCCAAAUGAUGAAAGGGAAGAAUUGAGGGACUUGUUGCUAAACAAUAAAAGAAAAAUAAAGAGCUUAAAGAAAUAAUGAAGGCCCAAGAAGACCAAUACAACACAAGAGUCGAGCAACUUGAUACCCAACUUAAAUCGUCAAUAGAUCUUAUUUAAUGUUAUUAGAGAACAACAAAACUAGUAGGUCAUAAAGUGUUUAUAUGUUGAUUAUAAAGUAUUUAUUUUAGAGUAGC
rnacentral:lncRNA from 1 species